rnacentral:rRNA from 1 species
GACGAACGCUGGCGGCGUGCCUAAUGCAUGCAAGUCGCACGCACUGCCUUCGGGCAGUGAGUGGCGCACGGCUGAGGAACACGUGGAUACCUGCCCGACCGUGGGGGAAAACGCAGCGAAAGCCGCGCUAAUCCCGCAUACGUUCCCGCAUUCGUGUGGGAAGAAAGCUGUAAAGCGCGGUCGGAGGGGUCUGCGGCCCAUCAGGUAGUCGGCGGGGUAAUGGCCCACCGAGCCGAUGACGGGUAGCUGGUCUGUGAGGACAGACAGCCAGACUGGGACUGAGACACGGCCCAGACUCCUACGGGAGGCAGCAGCAAGGAAUUUUCCCCAAUGGGCGCAAGCCUGAGGGAGCAACGCCGCGUGGAGGACGACGGCCUUCGGGUUGUAAACUCCUUUUGGGGGGGACGAUGAUGACGGUACCCCCCGAAUCAGCCCCGGCUAACUCUGUGCCAGCAGCCGCGGUAAGACAGAGGGGGCAAGCGUUGUCCGGACUGACUGGGCGUAAAGCGCGCGCAGGCGGUCUGAGGCGUCGGUGCUGAAAGUCCACCGCUUAACGGUGGGAAGCGCGCCGAUACGCUCAGACUGGAGGGCGGGCGAGGGUGGUGGAAUUGCCGGUGUAGUGGUGAAAUGCGUAGAGAUCGGCAGGAACACCAGUGGCGAAGGCGGCCACCUAGCCCGCACCUGACGCUGAGGCGCGACAGCGUGGGGAGUGAACUGGAUUAGAUACCCAGGUAAUCCACGCCGUAAACGAUGCCGACUCGGUCUUCGUGGGGCGAAUAGCCCUGGGGGGGCCCGAGCUCACGCGCUAAGUCGGCCGCCUGGGGACUACGAGCGCAAGCUUAAACUCAAAG